rnacentral:lncRNA from 1 species
AUGCAGUGGGCUGAGGCACCACCAGGCAGCUCCCGGAGUGCCUUUCCACUCAUUCAAACUCCAGGAAAUGAAAAAAGCCCUUCCCCCCACUGGAAACGAGUAUGCUUUGCAAUAAGCCUCCUCAGGCAUGUCUUUGUUAUGUGGCAGCCCACAGGCAUAGGAGCUGCACUUGUUAGACUAGGUGGCCACAGGAGACGGGUACAGAGACAUCCUCUCAAAAAGGCAACUCAACAAAGAGAAGAAAAAACAAAUCUUACCUGGCAGCAGAAAUCUCCACAGAUGGUGCCUACCCUUUUUUCUAGUUCUUUUCUAGAUGCUUGGAGAAAAUGAACAUAAGAUCCCCCCUAAAACUAACUCAGUGAGUCCAUCUGGCAGAGGAGAAAGUGUCAUCCAGGUAGGAAUUUAUCAGUCUCACAGGCCUCUCACACAAUAGAUAUUGCAUAGGAAGGUGAUGCAGUAGAUCACCUACUUUGAUUUAUUAACGAGAACUGAGACAUGGGAAACAAAUCACUACCAAUUCUGAUGCAGCACAUGACACCUCUUAUCGCAAUCCCCACUCUGAUUUCUCUUUUCACUGCCUACCACAGUAAAGCACUGCCGAAGCACAAUGUCACAAAACUCCCUGAAAGCUCACUAGACAAUUAAUCAAAGAAAGAUUUUGCUUUCCCAUAGUCCCAAAAGAAAUUGCUUACUUAUAUAUGCUUAUUCUAUAAUUGAAACAAAGCCUUGAAAGCAGAUAUAGGACAAAGGAUCAGACUAAAUGCUGUUCCUCAAAGUCUGCUUCCAUUUUCUUUGCAUUCCUACCUUGUGUUUAUUACAGGAAAUUAGAAGCCAGACCACCUUCAUUUCUAAAGUACAGGGUUCAAUGAAUUACAUUUACAAAGCCUAGUCUAGCCACAGUGAAUAGCUGGGACAAGAGUAAUCUUAAUUGAUAGACAUGUCAAUAGGCUAAUCACACAGCAGGUUUGUGGGUCAGUCUUUAACCAUCCAGCAGCAGAUCUCUAAGGUGAAGCUCCACAGAAUUGGCUGCUGCUUCUUCGAGCACAUUUCAUGAAAAAAUGUUAACCUUGUAAGGUCUCAACCCUCCCCCCAAAAUAAAAAACAACAACAACAACA